rnacentral:rRNA from 1 species
UAAAAGUCGUAACAAGGUUUCCGUAGGUGAACCUGCGGAAGGAUCAUUACCGUUUGUUCUUCUGAACUAACACCACUGUGAAUUGUACCAAGCAGGUGGGGUAACUCUUUAUUGAGUUUUAAAUGAGACUCGAGUCGAUGCCCCACUUGUGCAACCAAUUUGUGUAUUUUUACGCACUUAUUCUAUCAAUUUCUUGAAAUCAUUCAUUUGAUUUCAAAAACAAAAACGUGACAACUUCUAACGGUGGAUCUCUUGGCUUGUGGAUCGAUGAAGAACGUAGCCAGUUGCGAUAAGUAGUGUGAAUUGCAGAAUUCAGUGAAUCAUCGAAUCUUUGAACGCAAAUUGCGCUUUCUGGAUAUCCAGGGAGCAUGCCUGUCUGAGCGUCGUUUAAAAAUCAACAUACUUUGGUAUGGGUAGGGAUUUUAGAAGAAUAUUCCUCGGAAGAAUUUUUCUAUAUCUCGAUGUAUCUGAACCUUGCAUUACUUUUUGGUAUUGCUUGGAAGGCUCAACUUGCUUCUGUCCUUCUAAAGUGUAUUACUAAAUGAUGUGAUGUAAUUAGUUCUUCGAAUGAAUUAAUAUUCGUUCACUCUUUUUUUUGACCUCAGAUCAGACAAGACUACCCGCUGAAUUUAAGCAUAUCAA